UACGUAGGGGCGUAGCGUUGUCCGGAAUCAUUGGGCGUAAAGAGCGUGUAGGCGGCUCGGUAAGUCCGCUGUGAAAGUCCAGGGCUCAACCCUGGAAUGCCAGUGGAAACUGUCGAGCUAGAGUCCGGAAGAGGCGAGUGGAAUUCCUGGUGUAGCGGUGAAAUGCGCAGAUAUCAGGAGGGACACCGGUGGUGUAGACGGCUUUCUGGACCGUAACUGACGCUGAGACACGAAAGCGUGGGUAGCAAACAGG
rnacentral:rRNA from 1 species